rnacentral:lncRNA from 1 species
CUGGACCACAUGGACAAAGGGUGAAGACCGCUAAUCCUCAGGGACCUAACAGCGCUUCAGAAGAGCCAACUGGUGAGGAGACUUUUUCACUGAAGAGACUAAACCAUUCUCAACAUUCAAAGGAAGUGAAGCAUACAAUGCUAUUUGCUCCUGUCUCCUGCAGAGCUGCCACUAGCAAGGUCAUUAAUCCCCAGAGUAACUCCAAGGGUAACCACGAUGCAAAACUGUUAUGACAUCUGAAGGUGGCAAAUAAGACUCUACUGCUGAAGACACCACAUACUUCAGACACAGGACUUGGGGAGAGAAAGCUGCCAAUGACCUAGAAGCCUCUUCCUUGAGACUAUCUUUCGCAGUCUCUGAAAGGCACCGUGUCAGCUGCAAAAGCAGAAAUCAAUAGUCCUACACAGAUGUGAACCCUAUAAAUGACAGUAAUAAACAGUAUGUCAAGA